GUCCACGCCGUAAACGAUGGAUACUAGCUGUUGGGGGGCAACUUCAGUGGCUAAGCGAAAGUGAUAAGUAUCCCACCUGGGGAGUACGUUCGCAAGAAUGAAACUCAAAGGAAUUGACGGGGGCCCGCACAAGCGGUGGAGCAUGUGGUUUAAUUCGAUGAUACGCGAGGAACCUUACCAAGGCUUAAAUGUAGAUUGACCGGACUGGAAACAGUUUUUUUCGCAAGACAAUUUACAAGGUGCUGCAUGGUUGUCGU
rnacentral:rRNA from 1 species